ensembl:lncRNA
AAAACGCGAGAUUUUCACUUAAAUGGGGGUUUUGCGAAGGGAAAAUGUGUGAUUUUUGCUUAAAUGUGGGAUUUCGGAAGAGAAAACUCGUGGUUUUUUGGGUUAAUUGGGGGAUUUGCGAAGAGAAAUCGCGUGAUUUUCGCUUAAAUGGGGGAUUUGAGAAAACACGUGAUUUUCGGGUUAAAUGGGGGAUUCUCGAAGAGAAAAUGCUUGGUUUUCCGGUUAAAUGGGGGAUUUGCGAAGAGAAAUCGCGUGAUUUUCGCUUAAAUGGGGGAUUUGAGAAAACACAUGAUUUUCGGGUUAAAUGGGGGAUUCUCGAAGAGAAAAUGCUUGGUUUUCUGGUUAAAUGGGGGAUUUGCGAAGAGAAAACGCGUGAUUUUCGCUUAAAUGGGGGAUUUGAGAAAACGCUUGAUUUUCGGGUUAAAUGGGGGGUUUUCGAAGGCAAAAUGCGUGAUUUUCACUUCAGUGGG